GCUGAAAUAUCAGUUCCCUUAUGAUCACCGAAGUUCAGCAACGUCGAAUCUGAUCAGUACUUAGACGGGUGACCGCUUGGGAAUACCAGGUGAUGCAAGC